AAGGUCUUAGCUUAAUUAAAGCAUCUGGGUUGCAUUCAGAUAAUGUGGGGUAGAGUCCUACAGGUCUUA
rnacentral:tRNA from 1 species